rnacentral:rRNA from 1 species
UACGUAGGGCGCAAGCGUUGUCCGGAAUUAUUGGGCGUAAAGAGCUCGUAGGCGGCUUGUCGCGUCGUCCGUGAAAACUUGGGGCUCAACCCCAAGCUUGCGGUCGAUACGGGCAGGCUAGAGUUCGGUAGGGGAGACUGGAAUUCCUGGUGUAGCGGUGAAAUGCGCAGAUAUCAGGAGGAACACCGGUGGCGAAGGCGGGGUCUCUGGGCCGAUACUGACGCUGAGGAGCGAAAGCGUGGGGGAGCGAACAGG